GCCUGGGUGCCAUCCACCGUACAGGCUCCCCUUACACACUUCGCUUUGCCCAUCGACACACGCACGCUAGCGCAUCAGCCACUGUCUCAGAGGCCGAGGGCACCACAUACGCAGAGGUGACCGAACUGAAUGGCCACGUCACCUGCCAUACCGGCGCCAGAGGAGGUCAGCGCAGUCACACUCAGGCCUGGGACCCCCCCCGCACACCUGACGUGUCACUUCGUGGCCCUCAGAGCAGGGGGCUGGCACCUGCACUCCUACUGUUCCUUCGCCCCCGCAGGCAGCUCCAAGACCCAGAGGAGGCCUGUGGGCAGGUGGGGACCUCUCUAGGAGAGAGACAUCUCUUGGCAGAUGGAGAAUUUUCUUUCUUGACCCUCCGUUGGAACCGAAAAUAAAGCAAGAUACAGGAUCAGGAUCAUAGUUUUACUUGACUUCUUUUCCCGUCAGUCUGGCUCCCGCCUGGUCUGUUGCUGUGGACGUCUGGAGAAUGUGAAUGAGCUGGCCGUGGCCACUGCUGAGCCCUCCAUCUCCCCAGGCUGAGAGUGAGGCUUUGCACGGACCGGGCCAGGGACGCAGGUUUGCUCUGGGUUUCUAGGUUUCCUGGCAACAGGAAAAUCUUUAAAAAUGCUAAACCCUGAAACCCAUGGUAGUGAAAAGGCCCUGUAGACUCCUGAGUCCUGGAAAAAGUCCCAGGAUUCCUCUCAUCGGGCUGAUGGUGUUAAUAAGAACCAGAGCAUCAGAGAGGUGGGCUGCGAGCCCCUCAGAGGGACCCAACUGAGCACCAGUUCCUGCCUCACUCUGGGAGUGAAAUCAGGAAGCGGCAGAGAAAGGAGAAGCCUGUUUCUUCCAGCAGGCAGCUUUCCCUCUGGACACUGGACGCUUGUGCACACACCCCAGCUGAGCUCCACGCUCCCUAACUCCUGUGGGACCCUCGGCCUCCGCUGCAGCUUUCAGCCUGAGAGGGAGGAUGCCCCGGCCUCUGUGCAAGCACCCUGCUCUUGGACGGGCUUGCCUCGAGAGGGAGAGAACCUGGGAGAGAACCACUUUCCUCAAGUCCUAUCAGGACCCAGGAACACAGGACCCGGGGUUGGAGAGCACCGCGGAACACAAGACAAGGACCUGGCCAGAGUUACCCGUUCUCCACCGGCCUCCCGUCCCCUUUGCUGUCCUACCAGGAGGCAGAGCACCGCGGAACACAAGACAAGGACCUGGCCAGAGUUACCCGUUCUCCACCAGCCUCCCGUCCCCUUUGCUGUCCUACCAGGAGGCAGGGAGGAGGGGCCCCAGCCAGAAUGCCGGCCUUCCCCAGAGGGCCCCCAGGGACAUGCUGGGAAGAAAGAACCCGAUUCACUGACCAAUACUGGUUUCAUUUCUUAAAUUAAUUAUCCAAUUCUUGGCCAUCAAAUUGUAACAUUCUAGAGAGAGCCAGGAAGGCACACUUGGCGCCAAGGGCUGUGUUGAGCCUUCUUACUCAGGGACGGCCUCAGCGCUGGGUGGCCAAGGUCCUGGGCUUGUAGACAGGGACAGCCUCGUCCCAGAGAGCCGGCCGCCCCUUGAUGAUGUCGGCCGCCUUCUCUGCGAUCAUGAUGGUGGGGGCGUUGAGGUUGCCGCUGACCACGCUGGGCAUGAUGGAGGCGUCGACCACCCUGAGGUUUUCCACCCCGAGGACCCUGGUCUGCGGGUCCACCACUGCCAUGGGGUCGGAGGGCUGGCCCAUCUUGCAGGUGCACGAUGGGUGGUAGGCGCUGUCUGCCUUUGCCCGCACAAAGGCGUCUAUCUCCUUAUCCGACUGGACGUGGCUUCCUGGCUGGAGCUCCUUCCCCCGGAACGGCGCCAGAGCUUUCUGUGCAAAAAUUUCUCUGGUCAGCCUCACACACCGACGGAAGUCAUCGAUGUCCGUUUCUGUCAAGGAGAAGAAACAGGUUACAUGCCUCCUCUUACCAUGCUGGCCUCGCUGGAAGAUCCGCCACCGGGAGAGGCUCAAGAAGCUGCCCGAGGGGACACGGUUCAGGGACACGGAGGUCCAAGCCACCAGGUUGCCUGUCACCUACCCAUCAGCAGUUACAGUGCAACCGAGCAGAGUCCCACGAAGCCCAAACAGACAGCAUCCUAGACGGACACAGCUUGCCCCGGAGGCCCUACGUUUAAAUCGGAGAUCUGAAUUUUCUUAUCUAUAAGAUAGAGAGAAGACUACACGUCCUGCCUCUGCCACAGCACACUCCGGGCAGCUGGAGAGCAGGGCACCGCCUUCUGGACUGCCCACCCUGGAGGCCCUGCUGCAGUGGGGAGACGACCUGCUCACCUGGACCUCCUGUUGUGAGACACCUCAGGCAAGAGGCUAUCAUCGUGCCUGGCCAAGGCGAGUGGUUUUGGUUAAUGGUUCCCUAACAACUCGAGAGCCCACUCUCGGGCCCUGGAAGGGGUCUCCCUUCCUGCAACAGCUGGCGACUCUGGUGGAAUCUCUUCUUUACCACGACCGACAUCCUGACUGCUCAGGCACCAGCUCACCUAGCGACGGACCAGACCCAGAGGCCACCACUGGGACCCUCUUGUCUCUGAUCUCCUCCUGACGCAGAUGACUGGCCAGAGUGCCCCGCCCAGGCAGUUAAGCUGAUGCUUUGCAAAACUGCUUCAUCUUCAAGAAGAUUCACAGAAAGGGCUUUAGACAAGUACAGGUUUCUGAUAACUUUUAAAUCAUACUACUAAACUAGGUAAGACUUUUUUUUUUUGAGUAGCUAUUUUAUUUAUGUCUUUUAUUUAUUUGUUUGUUUAUUUGUUUAUUUAUUUAUUUUAUUUUAUUUUUGGCCGCACUGCGAGGCAUGUGGGAUCUUAGUUCCCCGACCAGGGAUGGAACCCUUGGCGUCUGAACCACUGGACCGCAGGGGAAAUCCCAGGUCUAUCUGGAAUACCAUGACAAUAUUCCGGCUACCCAGAUGCAUACACAACAUGAAAUACUGUCUCAUCCAUAGGCUCAUUUAUUUCACUAACGGCGGUAAUACUAAUAAUUUUCAUAAUUUGAGAGGCAUUAGCAUCAAAAUGAGAAGUCUCAACAGUAAAGCUAACAUAUCUCCCGGGAGAAUUCGGGAGGGGCAAAAGAAGGAGGAGAAGACCAAUCUCCCAGAGUCCUUCUCGCUGGAAUCCAUCUUGGCUGAGAGACGCACGCACCACCAGGAAGGACCCUGAGUCAGACGAUGGGCCAAGCGAGAUGACUGGCCAGAGACAACCCAGAAACUAACCCAUUACCAUAAAACUGGAGCCUGCGAGGCACGUGGCAGAGCGGUUCUCCUGGGUUCCCCCAGGCUCUCUGCCUUGGGGUUCCUUCCCAAUAAAGUCUUUUGCUUUGUCAGUACGUGUGUCUCAUCGGACAGUUCCUUUCCGAGUGUUAGACAAGAGCUUACUCUCCGGCCCUGGAAGGCCCUGCAACACCUGCACCGCCUCCUCCUCAAGGUGCUGCAGUCUCCCUGGCCCAACAAAUUCAUUCUUCAAGCACACCCAAUGCCUAGCCCCGGGGCCUUUACACGUAUUCUUCCUGCCUAACAGACCCCCUGCCACCAUUCUCCAGUUUAACAUCCUAAUUAUUCCUUCACUGUACUUAAAACUUAGCAUGUUUACUUAGUUUCCUUCCAUUGUCUCCACUAGAGCGUAAACUCCCUAAGAAAACCUGCCUUAUUAGCACUUCUCACCGUGUAGCACAGCACACGGUAGGUGUGCGAGAAAUGCAUGCUGAGUGAAUAAGAUUUCGAAGCACUACUUCCUGGCCAAACUCAGUACUCUGAGACCCAGCUAGAAACUGCAUGGAAAAUGCUGAGAAACAGAAGCUGUAGUCCAGCAUCAAGUGCCCUUUCUCUGCAUUUU